rnacentral:lncRNA from 1 species
CGUGCCCCUGUUGCCCCCCCCGCCAAACCGGUAAAUCCACCACUGCCAAUACAACUGUUUGUAUUGGCUUAUAUAUAAUUAACUGAAAACUCUUUUGGAAAAUUAAUCAUUAAUUCUCAUGCCUAUUUUAGUUUUAGAAUGAAUCUAUAAAUAUAUUUACAUGUAUAUUAAUUUAAUUUAAAAAGAUAAACAUUAAUGUGCUGCAGAUUAAUAGUUAUAUGUAACGUGGUAAGAGUGACUAUGUGUAUUGUAUUCAUCUAAUAGUUUUCACUAUAUUAUACAAGGUAUAAACAGAUGAUAUGUAUUUUAAGUGUUGGAAUGAAAUGUCCGUCAGGAUACAAUAAUUGUAAUGUUGAUUGAUGAAACAGAUUUUAAUUUAUUCCGUUAUGAAGACAUAUCAAUUGUUUAAGUAUGUGCAGUUUUGUUAGUGUUUGAACUGUUGUGACCGGUGAUUACGUUGUAUGUAAUCUCAUUAUUUUAUUUUAGUGCUUAAUUUUGUGAUAUUAUGAAACUUUUGAUUUUGUAUGUUUAAUUGCAUUUAGAAAGAUAUUUUGACCUCAGAUACUUUUUUAAAGCUCCAGCUUUACAACCUCACAUAUAUUAUUGUCUUCCAUGUCAUAAAAGUUACUGUAGGCAUAACAAAUGUAUACUAGCUUGGUGAUAACAGGGGUUUAGGUUAAUAUAAAACAGUGAUUAGAUAUUUUGUAAUCAUUGAAUAUGCAUUGAUUGUUGUUUUUAGAAGGGACUCAAAUGAGCUGAGGGUUUAGUUUCUCUUUCUUUUAGGUUAGGGCAACGUAUAUGUACAAGGUAGAUAAGGGUGAGGGGAAAGCAUCAGAAAGAUAACAGUGUAAAUAUGAAUAUGUAAGGUCAGGGUCACAAAUUACAAAAGAAGUUAUUGUAUGGUUUUAUUGUUUAUUUAUUGUCUAUUUAUGUUAACUACUUUUACUAAUUUUUAUUUUAUUUAUUUAUUAGAAACCUGCUCUGUUAUGUCAUGCGUACUAGAUAACUGUUGAUUUACUGAUUUACACAUUUGUAAUUUAUAAGUUAUACUCAUAUUUAUUGAUAAUACUGCUUGAAAGGGUCAUAUAUUUUAUAAUAAUCAUUUUCUAUUAAUAAGGGUUUAGGGUGACUUAUUCUUGUUAUAUUGUAAUAUUGUAUGAUGGCCGGGUUGUAGUUUCAUUGACAUAAGCCACACAUCUUCUUUUUCCUCAUUAGAAUAGUGAUAAAUAUAAUACAGUUUUGGCAAGAUAAUCUUAUUUUCUAUUUUUUCAUUUAUACCUUAUGUCUUUUGACAAGAUAUAUUCACAUUUGUCUAAGUAACAUUAUUGAACUAUUAUUCAUGAAAUGAAGCAGGGUAUUUUUUGUCAGUAAUGAAGAGAUUUCAUUCAUUUCUAAUGAUAUUUAUAAACUAAAAUGGUUAGGUGAAUUCCAGUGAGUUUUUGUGAAUAGCUUUAUUUCAUUUGGGAAAUUAUGAUAUGAAGUUAGUCAUGCAGUCAAUAAAUGCCCAAUAUUGGGAAACAAAAGUCAUUGUGUAUUCUUAAUACUUUUUGUAUAUAUUGAUAUCUAGUUAGCUAUUUUAUCACACCGACCGUGCGAGGGCUGUAUAGCCAGUCAAGGUCGUUAAACACUUCCAUUUGUGUAUUUUAUCACAUUAAAGACAAUCAUAGACCAUUAGGCCAGUUAGUUGAUUAGAAUAUGGUGGUAACAUCUAGAUCAAAUUACCAAUUAAACUUUUUGCAAAUUAUGUUUGGAAAUAUAGAAUUGACAUCAUUGAAAUCUAAUGACAUUGUUACACAUUUAUGUGUAUAUAUUAAACCUAAUGACAUUGUUACACAUUUAUGUGUAUAUAUUAAAAUUAUUUAAAAUCAAUGAAAAGAGUAGUAGAAAUAAAAAUAAUGCAAUAUUUAAAAAAAAAAAAGCUAUCUUAAAAAAUAAAUUUUUGAUAAAGUUAAAUAACUCAAUCUAAAGAUGCCAGUUUAAUUUAUUAAACUUCUGAAGAUUCUUCUAUUGUGACUGUUGUCGAUAUUUUGCAGAUGGGAAUACAUUUGUUCUGGAUUGCACUGCAGCUCAGAAAUUUUCCAUGAUGAACCAAGUGUUCCAUUUUUUGCAUGCUUUUUUUUAUUAGAAAUGCACUAUGAAAGUAUAUUUUAGGUAUUCUUAAAAAAAGUUUGCAAUCUUAUGGAUCUAUCUGCAAUCAUAAAAUAAUUUUCUUAUAUAUUUAUGAAAAAAUGCUUGAUGCUGGCAGAGACAACGUAGAAUCAAAAUCCUUUAUUAAGUACAUUGUAUUAAGGGUUUCCAGAGAUGUAAAAAUACAUUUUAUGUACUAACAGCCAACAACAGGAGCCUUAAAGUCGUAAAUAAAGAAAUCAUUUAGAACAAUUUUUGAAAAUAUUUCUUUAGAUAUGACUUUCUUUCCAGUACCUAUUCCCAUACUGUUUUCUGUAUUUAUCAUAUUUUAUUAAAAAGUGUGUGUCAGUAUUAGAAUCAGAAAGAUAUGCAAAUAUGUGAAGGGAAAUAUGCCAUUUUUUUUAUACAUGUUUGUUAAUAAAUGGUACGUACGGA